AGAGUUUGAUCAUGGCUCAGAACGAACGCUGGCGGCAUGGAUUAGGCAUGCAAGUCGAACGAAGCAGCAAUGCUUAGUGGCGCAAGGGUGAGGAACACGUGAGUGACCUGCCCGCAAGUUUGGAACAGCUCCUGGAAACGGGAAUUAAUACCGGAUGUGAUCAUGAAGCUGCAUGGUUUCAUGAUUAAAGCAGAAAUGCGCUUGCGGAGGGGCUCGCGUCCCAUUAGCUAGUUGGUGAGGUAACGGCCCACCAAGGCCAUGAUGGGUAGCUGGUCUGAGAGGACGACCAGCCACACUGGGACUGAGAACUGCCCAGACUCCUACGGGAGGCUGCAGUCGAGAAUUUUGGGCAAUGGACGAAAGUCUGACCCAGCAAUGCCGCGUGCGGGAUGAAGGUCUUCGGAUUGUAAACCGCUGUUUGGAGGGACGAAAAUUGACGGUACUUCCAGAGAAAGCCACGGCUAACUACGUGCCAGCAGCCGCGGUAAUACGUAGGUGGCGAGCGUUGUUCGGAUUUAUUGGGCGUAAAGGGUCCGCAGGGGGUUGAUUAAGUUUGACGUGAAAUCCCGGAGCUUAACUCCGGAACUGCGUUGAAGACUGGUUGACUAGAGUAUUGGAGAGGUAAUUGGAAUUCCAGGUGUAGCGGUGGAAUGCGUAGAUAUCUGGAAGAACAUCGAGAGCGAAGGCAGAUUACUGGACAAUAACUGACCCUCAGGGACGAAAGCAUGGGGAGCAAACAGGAUUAGAUACCCUGGUAGUCCAUGCCCUAAACGGUGUAAACUUGAUGUGAGCGGAAUUACUCCCGUUCGUGUCGAAGCUAACGCGAUAAGUUUACCGCCUGGGAACUACGGCCGCAAGGCUAAAACUCAAAGGAAUUGACGGGGGCCCGCACAAGCGGUGGAGCAUGUGGCUUAAUUCGAGGCAACGCGAAGAACCUUACCUGGAUUUGACAUUUA
rnacentral:rRNA from 1 species